rnacentral:misc_RNA from 1 species
GGGGUGCAGGAUCUGAACACUAUGAAAGUAUCCACAUUAGCAUGACGAAGAAGAUUUGUGUUGGUAAAGAUUGCUAGAUAGAACACAAACGCAGCAGGUAAAAACUUCUUAGCAGUUGCAUAUGUAAAGGGGUCAUGAUGCAAAAACCCAAGUUUCCCCAAAACCCAAACUCCUACAGCAGAAGUUAGAUACUGCAGAGCCG